GCCGUGGUGGUGCAGUGGUCAGCACACCCGAUCUGGUAUCCUACGUUCGCCUUACCCUACGCUCGCUUUACCUAAGAUCUCAAGUCUCUCUCUCGAGGGUCGGGAGGUCGCAAGUUCGAAUCUUGCCCACGGUG
rnacentral:tRNA from 1 species